UACGUAGGGUGCGAGCGUUGUCCGGAAUUAUUGGGCGUAAAGGGCUCGUAGGCGGUUUGUCGCGUCGGGAGUGAAAACCAGGUGCUUAACACCUGGCUUGCUUUCGAUACGGGCAGACUAGAGGUAUUCAGGGGAGAACGGAAUUCCUGGUGUAGCGGUGAAAUGCGUAGAUAUCUGGAGGAACACCGGUGGCGAAGGCGGCAUCCUGGACCGGCAUUGACGCUGAGGCGCGAAAGCCAGGGGAGCAAACGGG
rnacentral:rRNA from 1 species